GACGAACGCUGGCGGCGUGCUUAACACAUGCAAGUCGAACGGAAAGGCCCUGCUUUUGUGGGGUGCUCGAGUGGCGAACGGGUGAGUAACACGUGAGUAACCUGCCCUUGACUUUGGGAUAACUUCAGGAAACUGGGGCUAAUACCGGAUAGGAGCUCCUGCUGCAUGGUGGGGGUUGGAAAGUUUCGGCGGUUGGGGAUGGACUCGCGGCUUAUCAGCUUGUUGGUGGGGUAGUGGCUUACCAAGGCUUUGACGGGUAGCCGGCCUGAGAGGGUGAACGGCAACAUUGGGACUGAGAUACGGCCCAGACUGCAACGGGAGGCAGCAGUGGGGAAUAUUGCACAAUGGGCGGAAGCCUGAUGCAGCAACGCCGCGUGCGGGAUGACGGCCUUCGGGUUGUAAACCGCUUUCGCCUGUGACGAAGCGUGAGUGACGGUAAUGGGUAAAGAAGCACCGGCUAACUACGUG
rnacentral:rRNA from 1 species